rnacentral:rRNA from 1 species
AUUGAACGCUGGCGGCAGGCCUAACACAUGCAAGUCGAACGAGUGGCGGACGGGUGAGUAAUGUCUGGGAAACUGCCUGAUGGAGGGGGAUAACUACUGGAAACGGUAGCUAAUACCGCAUACCAUCGGAUGUGCCCAGAUGGGAUUAGUUAGUAGGUGGGGUAAAGUCUCACCUAGGCGACGAGCCCUAGCUGGUCUGAGAGGAUGACCAGCCACAUGGGAAAGGAGACACGGUCCAGACUCGUACGGGAGGCAGCAGUGGGGACUAUGGCACAAUGGGCGCAAGCCUGAUGCAGCCAUGCCGCGGGUAUGAAGAAGGCCUUCGGGUUGUAAAGUACUUUCAGCGGGGAGGCGUUACCCGCAGAAGAAGCACCGGCUAACUCCGUGCCAGCAGCCGCGGUAAUUC